AGGCCGUGUCCUCACCGCCCCUCUCUUCCUAGGUGGGGUCUUUCCCGCAGCAGUUCACACACAUGUACGGCUGCAGGAGCCCCUGGGCAGGGGGCGGGGCCCUCCCGGGAGGCUGGGGGACCCUGGAGGGUGAAGGGGCGGUGGGGUGGGCGGGGGGCACCAGGCUGACGUCCUGCCCACAGGUCUGGGCUCCCGUACCUGCUGAUGUACCGCUGUCAGGACAGCAGGGACAGGCCAGCAGUCAAGGCUGACGUGGAACACCUGUGGAGGGCUAAAGCCGAGGACCGAGAUGCAGACGGGCUGUAGGAGACGCGGGGCGCGUGGCCAGCAACUGAGCCUGUGCAAGGCCCUGCUCAGCUGCUUGGCGCCCGAGGACCCUGGCCUGCCCUGCC
rnacentral:lncRNA from 1 species